rnacentral:rRNA from 1 species
UACGAAGGGGGCUAGCGUUGUUCGGAAUUACUGGGCGUAAAGCGCGCGCAGGCGGUCUUCCAAGUCAGUGGUGAAAGCCCGGAGCUCAACUCCGGAACUGCCAUUGAAACUGUGAGACUUGAGUACGAGAGAGGUGAGUGGAAUUCCCAGUGUAGAGGUGAAAUUCGUAGAUAUUGGGAAGAACACCGGUGGCGAAGGCGGCUCACUGGCUCAUUACUGACGCUCAGGCGCGACAGCGUGGGGAUCAAACAGG